GAGCCAAAUGCAGUGCUUGCUUCCUAUCUGUGGUCCAUUGCAUAGCAGUGUGCUUGGGUGCUGCGUAAGACAAUUCCCCCCAACGCCUCCAAAAAAUAGGACAUGGUCCACUGCAGGAGUUCAUAAUCUAGGAGUCCAGAGAGUCCAGGCUCAUCAUCCCUUCAGAAGAAAGAAUCUUCAGGCCUCUGCUCUUGUGAGAGUAAUUUCUCUUAACACCGACAGUGCAGCAAUACAACUACCACCACCUUUCAAUUAUUGAGAGGCAAUCAUCUAAAGCAUUUGGCAAGUGAUCCACUUACGGAGCCAAGCUAAGGGAGCUGAAGAGAAGAGGCCGCCGCCCCAACCCAGGUGUUGUUAGUUAUCUAGCCUUUUGCAAAGCCUCUUCCGUUUCUACUCUGCUCUUUAAGCUAUUUCAUGCCUUGAAGAUGUCUCUACCAGGGAAAAUAAAGAGAUUCAGCUCUUCCCCCACCUCCUGCCUGUCUCCAAGACAGAGUGGGGCUGAUGACUGGAGGUGGGAAGGACUAGAGGAAGAUGCCACAAAAUUUAGCAACUGGGCCUGAAAUUCACCAUUCACACCAUCAAACUGGACUAACAGGAAAGAAGAUUAUGUAAGGAAUGGAUAAAAUGAGUUAACAGGAAUUAACUCCAGACUGUAAAGAUAGAUCUAUGCCAUUCUUUCCUUGUUCAGUGUUCUGUUAACUUUUAAUAUCCCAAAAUCAAUUUGGAUCUUGCUUUCUCUGCAAGAAUGUUAAAAAAAAUACAAUAGAAACCUGAAGAAAUGCUCUUUUGUUUCAUAAAAAUAUAAAAAUAUUCAAUUAGAAGAGUGACUUUUAUUGUCAAUUUUUUUCCUUUCUUUGUUUAAAAUUUUUUUUUGUUUGUUUAACCUCAGCUACUCCAUGUGCUACUUUCUCUCGCAACUUUGAGCAAGAAUGUUAGAUCUUUUGCUGGGGGCCUUCGGAAGCCGUGAGGGAGCAUAUCCUGACACCCACAUAGAAGACCUGGUACCUAUGUUUCCACAUCACAAAGCAGGCCAACAAGCACACAAGGCCGCAGACCAAAUUAAGAAUCAUCUGGAUGAGUAAGAACAGUUUGAAAGUGCCAGUGACGCUGGUACAGUCCGUCACAUCCCGGUAAACAAAGGUCCUGCUGAGCGGCUCCGAGGAGGGCAGUUUGCACUGGCAAGAGUCGAGUGUGGUCUCACAGGUAAACUGUGUGAGCUGCGAAUAGUGGUGGGCGGCAAAGGCCACGGCCAGCACACAGACCGUCAGGCCCAGGGCACUCAGCAGAAAGUAUAACAGCUGCAAGAAAGCAGAAGAAAACCUUUCUGGUUACAAAGAACAUUGGAUGAUGAUUUGCAAAGCGAAUUCAUCAAAACUGUUCUUUUUCUUCCCUCCCAGAAAUUUUCUGAUGGAAAGGCUGUCUCUUCUUAGAAACACAACACCCAAGACAUGGAAAUAGCUCCAUGUUUAUUUAUUAGUGGGUAGUUCUUAAACCCUGAUCACAUUUUCACUUGCCAUCCAGAUGUUGGGCCCUUUUCAAGAGUUGUGACAACCAUAUUAGCUGGACUGUGGAAUGUUUUUGUCUAGAUAUUGCCAGCAGUUUAGAUGAAUCCCAAACAAGCUAGCCAUCCCUGGAUGACAUGUUGUGCUUAUUUUGAACUCAAGAACUUCUGAUAUUAAGACUGAAACAAGACUAGGAAGUAAAGAACAGGUUUUUGUAAUGCAAACACUGUGUGGGCCAAAAUUAGCAAUGAUGGGUCAACUAAUAGCAUAAGUUAAUUUUUUUAAAAGACUACAUUCAAUGUAGUGAUUGCCAAACUGUAUCCAUAAACAUGAGAAUCCCCAGUAGGAGGUUGCUGGGAGAAAAUAAAUUAUGGCUCCAGAAGUCAAGUGACUCAACGUCAGCUUCAUCGCCUGUGAAACUUACCCCAAGCCCAACAACGACCAUGUGAUUCCUGAGCCUGAAAAAACUCUAAAUGGUUCCUCAGUCACCAAGGUUUUGAACACUGUUGGCCUCCAGAUUAGCUUUGGGAUUGAAAAAGUCUGGUUAAAGUUCUCGCUCUGCUGCUACAGGGCUGUGGGAACUCUGAACAAUUUAGGGAUUUAGCUUACACCUAAAAUAUUCUGAGCAAAACUUGUGGGUGUUCACUGACAUGGCCACAAUAAAAUCUAUGGAACAAGAAAUAUUUUUGUGAUUGAACUCACCUACUAGAAAUGUUAAUCUUAAUGGUCCACCUGCUGAGACUCUAGGUAAGGCUCAGAGUCCCCAGCUUUUGAGACUAGUACACAUAGUUCUUAGUGCAAGAAUUACAUUACCACAGUCAAAAGUUGCUCUCUACAGAGAACAAUUCUGGUAAAUGGACACUUCACAAAGUAAUAUUAGUUCCAGUCAUUUCCAGGUUCAGAGGAAAGUAGCUCUGAGAAGAUGAUGCCCUUCCCCCACCUUCCCUUAUAUAUAAUUCAAAAUUAAAACAUAUAUGUGACACUACAAAAUAUGUGUACAAAAGUCCUCCAAAUGAGUGUGUUCCACACAGUGAUGAUUUCAAGUGUUUUCAAGUCUUAAAUUUGGAAUGCUGUAUUUACAUUUUUACUUUUUCUUUUUCUUGAGUGGUAUGUGUGCAUGUAUGUGUGGGUGUGGGUGUACAUACUGGUUGCUGGUGCCCUAAGCUUAUCUCUGGUUUGCCUGUAAGGGAAUCCAUCAGGGAUUACAUACAGCUUGACUGUCUAUCUAAGGUCACUGGAAGAGCGUAGAAUUAGUUAAAGCCAUUUUUUUCUUAAUACAUCUUAAUUAGUAUCAUGGAUUCUUUAGAUCUUUUCAUCAAAGAGAUCUUAAACACACAUUCUUUUUCCUCUUCAAAUCAUUUAAAGGAUUGUCAGAUGUAACCUAAGUAUCUUCAUCUGUGAAACAGUUUAUAGAAACAUCUUAUAUCUCAGGGACAUAACAAUGAUUAUACUCAAUAUUAGUGUUCCUUGGAGGAAGGGAACCAGAUAUAUACAAAGUGGUACCAUCAUAAAAAAAAUUUUUUUUAAGAGAUGGAGUCUUGCUAUGUGGCCCAGGCUGGUCUCAAACUCCAAGCCUCAAGUGAUCCUCCCACCUCAGCCUCCCAAAGUAUUGAGAUUAGAGCCGUGAACCACUUCGUCUGGCCCUCAAUAUUUUCAGUGACUACAUUUUAUGCAAAAAUUGGAGUUUUUAGCCUAAAAAUAUGGAUUUAUUUUGUAGAACCAAUGGGGAAGAAUAUUUGAACAAUUCUGGGUUGUUCUGAAAUAUUCAGGCUUGAUUACUGACUUCAAACUCUUGGUGCCAAGAGCCAAAUUAAACUGUCUUGACCAUG